rnacentral:rRNA from 1 species
GAUGAACGCUGGCGGCGUGCCUAAUACAUGCAAGUCGAGCGAACGGACGGGAAGCUUGCUUCUCUGAUGUUAGCGGCGGACGGGUGAGUAACACGUGGAUAACCUACCUAUAAGACUGGGAUAACUUCGGGAAACCGGAGCUAAUACCGGAUGAUAUUUUGAACCGCAUGGUUCAAAAGUGAAAGACGGUCUUGCUGUCACUUAUAGAUGGAUCCGCGCUGCAUUAGCUAGUUGGUAAGGUAACGGCUUACCAAGGCAACGAUGCAUAGCCGACCUGAGAGGGUGAUCGGCCACACUGGAACUGAGACACGGUCCAGACUCCUACGGGAGGCAGCAGUAGGGAAUCUUCCGCAAUGGGCGAAAGCCUGACGGAGCAACGCCGCGUGAGUGAUGAAGGUCUUCGGAUCGUAAAACUCUGUUAUUAGGGAAGAACAUAUGUGUAAGUAACUGUGCACAUCCUGACGGUACCUAAUCAGAAAGCCACGGCUAACUACGUG